rnacentral:rRNA from 1 species
AUACGGAGGGUGCAAGCGUUAAUCGGAAUUACUGGGCGUAAAGAGUACGUAGGUGGUUUGUUAAGUCAGAUGUGAAAGCCCCUGGCUCAACCUGGGAACUGCAUUUGAAACUGGCAAGCUAGAGUAUGGUAGAGGGGGGUAGAAUUUCUAGUGUAGCGGUGAAAUGCGUAGAUAUUAGAAGGAAUACCAGUGGCGAAGGCGGCCCCCUGGACCAAUACUGACACUGAGGUACGAAAGCGUGGGUAGCGAACAGGAUUAGAAACCCCAGUAGUCC